rnacentral:rRNA from 1 species
GAUGAACGCUGGCGGCGUGCCUAAUACAUGCAAGUCGAGCGAACAGACGAGGAGCUUGCUCCUUUGACGUUAGCGGCGGACGGGUGAGUAACACGUAGGUAACCUACCUAUAAGACUGGGAUAACUUCGGGAAACCGGAGCUAAUAUCGGAUAAUAUUUCGAACCGCAUGGUUCGAUAGUGAAAGAUGGCUUUGCUAUCACUUAUAGAUGGACCUGCGCCGUAUUAGCUAGUUGGUAAGGUAACGGCUUACCAAGGCAACGAUACGUAGCCGACCUGAGAGGGUGAUCGGCCACACUGGAACUGAGACACGGUCCAGACUCCUACGGGAGGCAGCAGUAGGGAAUCUUCCGCAAUGGGCGAAAGCCUGACGGAGCAACGCCGCGUGAGUGAUGAAGGUCUUCGGAUCGUAAAACUCUGUUAUUAGGGAAGAACAAACGUGUAAGUAACUGUGCACGUCUUGACGGUACCUAAUCAGAAAGCCACGGCUAACUACGUG